UACGUAGGGGGCAAGCGUUGUCCGGAUUUAUUGGGCGUAAAGAGCGUGUAGGCGGCUUGGUAGGUCCGCUGUGAAAACUCGAGGCUCAACCUCGAGAUGUCGGCGGAAACCACUUGGCUAGAGUCCGGAAGAGGAGAGUGGAAUUCCUGGUGUAGCGGUGAAAUGCGCAGAUAUCAGGAAGAACACCUAUGGCGAAGGCAGCUCUCUGGGACGGUACUGACGCUGAGACGCGAAAGCGUGGGGAGCGAACAAG
rnacentral:rRNA from 1 species